UGGGGAAUAUUGGACAAUGGGCGAAAGCCUGAUCCAGCCAUGCCGCGUGUGUGAAGAAGGUCUUCGGAUUGUAAAGCACUUUAAGUUGGGAGGAAGGGCAGUAAGCGAAUACCUUGCUGUUUUGACGUUACCGACAGAAUAAGCACCGGCUAACUCUGUGCCAGCAGCCGCGUUAAUACAGAGGGUGCAAGCGUUAAUCGGAAUUACUGGGCGUAAAGCGCGCGUAGGUGGUUCGUUAAGUUGAAUGUGAAAGCCCCGGGCUCAACCUGGGAACUGCAUCCAAAACUGGCGAGCUAGAGUAGGGCAGAGGGUGGUGGAAUUUCCUGUGUAGCGGUGAAAUGCGUAGAUAUAGGAAGGAACACCAGUGGCGAAGGCGACCACCUGGGCUCAUACUGACACUGAGGUGCGAAAGCGUGGGGAGCAAACAGG
rnacentral:rRNA from 1 species